AGUGCACCUCUUAGUAUGACAUAGUUUAAGCUGCAUAUAAGCAAGCCAAGAGGAAAAAUACAGUGCACCUCUUAGUAUGACAUAGUUUAGGCUGCAUACAAGCAAAGCAGGGUUGUAGUUAUGGACAGGUUGAAACUCUUAUAGUAUUAGAAUUUUGAUAAUCUGUAGAGUCCCUUUGUCACAUGUUAAGAUUUUUUAUGUAAAUUCUGUAUUAUUAAUUUUUUUUUCAACAUGAAUUUUGUGUGGCAUCUAUUUUUCAACCCUAUGCACACUUAGAUGUAGCUUAUAAGGUAUCACUACUGCAUUUUGUAUAGUUUUUCCUCGGAGCAUAAGUAGGUAAGGAUUAUACACCAUUAUAACAACGCUACACACCAGACUGUAUGUGCUGCCAUAUCAGAUUUCCUUCACUGACCUCUUCACAAGUACCUCCGUAGAGUCUAGCCGUGUCGGUGAAUGUUGACGGUACUUUCCCAUCAUGCCUAGAAUAUUUUAUCGGUAAUUUACUCCCUGAUCGAUGUAAAACUUAGAAUAGCGGUGAAAAUAUAAUGUAUAGUGCAUGGGAUAAUUCCAGCCAUGAACUUGAAAGAAAGAUUAAGUCCAUUAGAAGUACAAAAAAAAAAAAAAAAAAAAAAAACAGUUGUACAUAGAAUAGAUUAGAUAAUGGACUAGUUAGGAAAAAAAUAGUGCAAGAACAGGCAGCUGAAAACAAUGCAGGAGUGACAAACAGUAAUGAGAAAGAAUGAAAGAAAGAUUUAGUAGUCCUCUCUAAAGAACAAGGAGGCAGGUGUAUAUAGAACCAUAGCCCCUUGCAUAGAGUACAGAUAGGGAAGGGUUAGUGGCGAAAACAGUAGCUAAAUACAUCACAGGCUUGACAAACAGUAAUAUGAAAGGAAGAGUUAGCAGCACUCCCUAAAGAACAAAAAAGCAAUUUCAUAUAGAUCAACCCCAUAGAAGAGUAAUG